UAACGUUAGAAUUGGUAAGGGAUUUCAUAAU
rnacentral:piRNA from 1 species